GGCAAGUUGGCGGCAGUGGUUUUCGUCGUCGGCACGGCGGCCCUCGUUUCCAUCGUUUUCGUCGCGUCGUCCUCGUUGUCGUUCUCGUUGUCAUCCUCGUCUUUGCCGCGAUCGUUUUUUCCUUUUGUCGUUUCAAAAAGACUCUACGUUUAUUCUGUUUGGUUCGACGGUACGCUGGCAGAAAACGAGUCAUAUGGAUAUUUGUCAGGGGCGAGGUAGGAAAUCCGUAUGCGAGCACGCAGAAGAGUGACAGGUUACGAACUAUUCGUCGAAAGUGGGAGGGAAAUACAGAAGGAAGAAAAAAAGAAAGGGCGGAAAGGAAGAAAGGAAAAAAGGAGGGAGAAAUAUUGGUAGAAUGAAGCAUCGUGGACGAGGGUAGGGCAACAGAAGCCAAUAGUGAGGUGAAUAGGUGGCAGAUAGCGUAAACGGAAAACGGCCAGCAGUUAGAGUAUACAAAAAGGAACGGGGUACCGUCAGUCAAGUGCGACCGCGUGCACAAGACAGUAUUGUGUAGAUAUAACGCUGUUAUCCCUCCUCUUUUUCUUUGAUCUUUGCUCCUUUAUUUUCCUUCUUCUGUCCCUUUCCCAUCCUACUUCUCUUUUUCUUUACCUUUAAUUUUUCCUUCUGUGAUACGCGCUCGCGACGGAGAGGAGGAACACGACACGUCGAUGAAUGAAACUGACGACGAACAGUUAUCAUUCUUAUUCGCGUUUGCUUGCUUCUAACAGCAAGAAGCAAGCUAAGCUUUCGUUCGUUUUACCAACGAAACGACAUCGGAUAGAAAUUUAAGAAAGAAGGAAUAUCAAUCACCUAUACUCAAGAAAACCUUCACGAAGAUAUACGAAAAAUUCCGCGUUAUUUUUUGCUAUCGUGAAUUAUCAACGUGCUUAUUUUAUGUAUCAUCAAUCAGGUGACAAGAAGAAAACGAGACGGUAUCAGAGGAAUCGGUGAAGCCGGUAAUCACGGUGCUACGAAACGUUUGUAAGAUAAAGAGAAAGAUAAUCAAAAGAAAAAAGGGGGAAAGAACAACAACGAAAAACAGAUCUCGGCCAGAAUGACAGCCAUAGUGACAGAUCUGGUGCACGGGUACAGGGAUCUGAUGGAUAACAAA